GAUUCUCUUUUAAUGCUAUACCAGAUUUACCAUAGCCACCUAGCCUAUAUAAACAGUUCAAAGAGGAUGUGAAGCUUCACAUUCAGUAGCAUCCAAUUACACAAAGUAGGUUCCGUAUUGCUGGUUUGUUUUUUUUACUUGGGUUACUCACAGGACAAUCCACAGCUUUAGUCUUCGAGUUGUGCUAUGGUGCUUGCUUUAUCCGCUGUAUGAUCGAACCACCACACAGUCCCUUAAAAUGCGGCUUGAAUUGCUUGAAAAAGUGCAUCUUACCCAACUGAUCAGCCUACAAACCCUAUAUACUUCUGCACGCUUGGUUGUGCUAAUUCUUCCUGUGCCAAUAUCAGCACCAAUCUCAAUCCAAAUGAAGCCAGGAAGGAGAAGUGAAGGGUUGUGUGGAUUCUUGCUCUGGGAGCUGCACUAAUACAUACCCACCUCUGAAGUAUAUAUUAAGACCAAUUUUUAGUAAUUUAUUGAGAGCUAAUGAAUAAAAUCAGUACCUUAUAUAUUUGUAUCUCAAAAAGAAAAUUAAUAAAAUUUACAAAACAUGUAAUUGACUUAUAUUAAUAAUCUAUUUUGUCUAGCUAGUUUUAAAAUA